AACGCGAAGAACCUUACCAGGUCUUGACAUCCUCUGAAAACUCUAGAGAUAGAGCUUCUCCUUCGGGAGCAGAGUGACAGGUGGUGCAUGGUUGUCGUCAGCUCGUGUCGUGAGAUGUUGGGUUAAGUCCCGCAACGAGCGCAACCCUUGAUCUUAGUUGCCAUCAUUAAGUUGGGCACUCUAAGGUGACUGCCGGUGACAAACCGGAGGAAGGUGGGGAUGACGUCAAAUCAUCAUGCCCCUUAUGACCUGGGCUACACACGUGCUACAAUGGACGGUACAAAGAGCUGCAAGACCGCGAGGUGGAGCUAAUCUCAUAAAACCGUUCUCAGUUCGGAUUGUAGGCUGCAACUCGCCUACAUGAAGCUGGAAUCGCUAGUAAUCGCGGAUCAGCAUGCCGCGGUGAAUACGUUCCCGGGCCUUGUA
rnacentral:rRNA from 1 species